rnacentral:tRNA from 1 species
AGACUUAACUAAUUACUUUGAAAGUAAUAAAGAAAACUAUAAGUCUU